rnacentral:lncRNA from 1 species
CCUCUAUCCAGGUCCAACCUCGUCCGGGAAAUGGAGAACAUGAGAACGAGGGGAAGAACCUCGCAAGGCACUGACCGCGUCUGCGUUCCCUGCCAUGUCCCUUGAGCCACUAGAGAGGGGGAAUUGCUUCGAGCUGAAUCUACUCAGCAUAUUGUAUCUGUGGGAAGAUUAUAUGAGAAGAUGAGUUCUACACUUGGUGGUUUAAGGUGCUGACACCCAAGUUAUACCUGAGGAAAAAUGCUAGUCCCUCACUACAUCAAGGAAAAUGUUCAAAUUUACAAGACAAGUAAAUGCUCUCCUUUGACAUCCACGGAGUGGGCGUAGUUUGGAGAACCCUGCAUAAGAAGGAAGGUUUGAAUACUGCUACCACUGACCACAGAGCCUCAUAGAGCCCGGAGCAGGACACACCAGUGCAGCUGAACUCACCUGCAUCAGCCUGGCCUCCUCCUUUCCAGCUGGAGCCGGGAUAUCAGCUGUGUGGCACCUUUUUAUGCCUGGCCCAAAGAAGAAGUCAUCUUGGGCAUGUUGUUUCUUCUGAAAAUGACAAAGAACUUUCACUAGUAUAAUUUUGCAAGUUGAAAACAUUAAUCCAUUACUAAUAAAUCAAUAAGUUUGGUGGAAAUAUAAUUUUUGAAAAAUGAGAGA